rnacentral:rRNA from 1 species
GACGAACGCUGGCGGCGUGCUUAACACAUGCAAGUCGAACGGAAAGGCCCUGCUUUUGUGGGGUGCUCGAGUGGCGAACGGGUGAGUAACACGUGAGUAACCUGCCCUUGACUUUGGGAUAACUUCAGGAAACUGGGGCUAAUACCGGAUAGGAGCUCCUGCUGCAUGGUGGGGGUUGGAAAGUUUCGGCGGUUGGGGAUGGACUCGCGGCUUAUCAGCUUGUUGGUGGGGUAGUGGCUUACCCAGGCUUUGACGGGUAGCCGGCCUGAGAGGGUGACCGGCCACAUUGGGACUGAGAUACGGCCCAGACUCCUACGGGAGGCAGCAGUGGGGAAUAUUGCACAAUGGGCGGAAGCCUGAUGCAGCAACGCCGCGUGCGGGAUGACGGCCUUCGGGUUGGAAACCGCUUUCGCCUGUGACGAAGCGUGAGUGACGGUAAUGUGUAAAGAAGCACCGGCUAACUACGUG